UACGGAGGGUGCAAGCGUUAUCCGGAUUUACUGGGUUUAAAGGGUGUGUAGGCGGGCUUUUAAGUCAGUGGUGAAAUCUCCGGGCUCAACCUGGAAACUGCCAUUGAUACUAUUAGUCUUGAAUUUUGUUGAGGUAGGCGGAAUAAGUCAUGUAGCGGUGAAAUGCAUAGAUAUGACUUAGAACACCAAUUGCGAAGGCAGCUUGCUAAACAAAUAUUGACGCUGAGGCACGAAAGCGUGGGGAUUAAACAGG
rnacentral:rRNA from 1 species